CUGCCUGAGUGAUAUCCCUCCAGAGCCUAAGGGGUUCUGAAGCGGGCAAGUUCUCUAGGUUCCUCAGUAUAUUUAGGAGGGAGAAUCAUACACAUGCAGAGACCAGACCAAGGCAGAAGGAGGCCAGCCUUCUAUCACGUUGGAGAACAAGACAAGGAAAUGGUCCUGGGGAAGACCCAGUGAAUACUGGGCAGGGCUAGAGAACCUUCCUGGAGAAGAGUUUGCUCAGAAGGCAUCAUCUCAACCGUCCACCAACCAUGUUGAGGAGGAGAGAAUGAAGCAUUUGGAGGACCUGAAAAUUGUUCUCCAGAAGAUGCCAAACGAGAGAGAUGAACGCCAGAGAAUACUGGCAUAUUACCCUAGAAACAAUUUAAAUGACAGGUCUGCAACACUCCAGCAGAAACUUGCACAGGGCCCAGACCAGGACUACAGCUCUCAGAGACAGAACUGUCCACCAGGAACACUGAGGGUGCAAAGACUGACAACACCUCCCGCAUCUCAGUUCUCAUAACCAUAACACUCUUGGGCUGCAUUUGAAAGACCUUGAGAUAUCAUAUGGAACAUGCCUAAUGUUUAACCUUUUGAGAACUUGUCCAUCAACAACCACCACCCCGAAUGAGGCAUGUCUACAUUCAUCUUGAAGAGAUUUUUACCAUUUUGCCUGCCAUUCUGCUAUGCUUGCAAGGCCAGCAACAGGCUGGAGGUAUAUGUUGCAAAAUCUGCAGCCAUUGAAUGUUGAUUAAUUUACCUGCUGUAUUUGGUUUUCAGUUUUUAGUUUGAUUGUUUUAUGCAUUUGGUUUUUUUGUUUACACUUGAAGUUUUGUCAUUUAUUUGUUAACUUUAGUUUUUAAAAUUAAUAUGCUAUAUUCCUAAGGCUAUAUUAAUUGAACUCAUUGACUCCCCACUUUAAAAUGUUCUCGAAUAAAUUAAUGUUUGCCUAUAAAUAAAAAUGUGACCUCUAACCCUUCACUCAUAAGACCCUUCUGAGUCAUGUGUGGUUUUCCCUCCUGUAACAGCACAAGUAUAAGGCAACAGUGGU
ensembl:lncRNA LOC102551549 uncharacterized LOC102551549